rnacentral:tRNA from 1 species
GCCUGGGUGGCUCAGUCGGUUGAGUGUCUGACUUCGGCCCAGGUCAUGAUCCCACGCUUUGUGGGUUCGAGUCCCAUGUCGGGCU